rnacentral:snRNA from 1 species
UCCGCCCAGAUUUUUGAAUCUCUC